UACGUAGGGGGCAAGCGUUGUCCGGAUUUAUUGGGCGUAAAGAGCGUGUAGGCGGCCAGACAGGUCCGUUGUGAAAGCUCGAGGCUCAACCUCGAGACGCCGAUGGAAACCGUCUGGCUAGAGUCCGGAAGAGGAGAGUGGAAUUCCUGGUGUAGCGGUGAAAUGCGCAGAUAUCAGGAAGAACACCCGUGGCUAAGGCGGCUCUCUGGUACGGUACUGACGCUGAGACGCGAAAGCGUGGGGAGCGAACAGG
rnacentral:rRNA from 1 species